ensembl:lncRNA
UCAUUUGGAAAGUUAGAUUUGAUCCCUUAUCCUUAUAGUCUUUUAAACCUCUAUUUCCUCUUCUAUCUGAAGCUAUUUAAAGUUAAAAGAAAGGGGAAUUUGAGAGGAGAGUUAGUAUUUGAGAAUUGCUUUCCUUCUGUAUCUGCUGUCUGCAGACUGGCCUGAUUUGGCAAGCAGCCUGAUUGUUUAUGGCUAGCAUGCUGAAAAUGAGCUGUUCUUUUUUUAAAGGGAGCAGGAAGAAACAGCAUCAGAGAGCAAAUUGUGUGACCUGCAACACCUAAAAUAUUUACUGUCUGCCCCAGUCCAUCCUGUAUAACAUAAAAACUGGUUCUCUUUGACUUACAUCAUAUAAUCAGAUCUUCUCCUAGAAGAAGACUUCAAGCUUUAGAACUUGAUCCUCCUUGACAUUCUUUGUCUGAUUUUUAAAAAUUAGAGCAGAUCCCUGGAUCCAGAAGAUCCCCUGGAGAAGGGAAUGGCUACCCACUUCAGUAUUCUUGCCUGGAGAAUUCCAUUUCCCCCUAGAUCUCACCUUCACAUUUUAUGUUAAGUUAUUUAGUAUAAUUCAGACUUUAUUCUUUAUAAUUAAGACUUUUAAAAUCCCUCUUCAUUUUUAUUUACUAGUGAGUUAAUAGCCAUGUUACAUUAAAGCAUGUAAAUAAAUACGUAAAUAAAUGCUGAGUCAAAAUCUCCCAUCCAGAGGAAUAAGUGUAGCUAGUAUUCGCUAUGUAAUUAGAAUUUGGGAGACUACUUCCUUUGUGAAAGUAUUAGUUGCUCAGUCGUGACAGACUCUUUGUGACACAUGGACUGUAGCCCACUAGGCUCCUCUGUCCAUGGGAUUUCCCAGGCAAGAAUACUGGAGUGGGUUGCAUUCCCUUCUCCAGAGGAUCUUCCCAACCCAGGGAUCAAAGCCAGGUCUCCCGCAUUGCAGGCAGAUUCGUUACCGUUUGAGUCACCAGGGAAACACUUCUUUGUAACGGUAGUUUUUCCUUUUGGAACUAAGGUCUUUCUUUAUCCUCAUACUUCAGUGGCGUGUUUGUAAUGUGCUAAGUUUUCAUAAAUGUUUAUACUUAGCUUAAAUUAUCAUUGUGUUGAUUGGGCCUCACAUUUUAGAUUAAAUCUCCAAAGAUUAUUUGGAGGAUAAAUGGAAAACCACUCAAUUUCAGGAGAACAGUGUCACUUCUAGAUAAAAAGGGUUAUAUAUAUAUGUAUAUACAUAUACUCUAUAUAUGUAAAUGAUGAAUAAUUUUAGGAGGUUGACACAUGAAUAAGACUUUUUCAAAAUUUGGUGUCUUGUUUUUCAGAAAGGGGGCAACUAACUUUUUCUCCCAGAAUUAGUUUGAAUAAUGACACUUGACCAUCUCUUAGAUUCAGUGAUUGUAUGUUAUUCCUCUGCUCAAUUAUGUAUUCUUUGAAGCCAUUGUCUUUUCAGUAUGCUUAAUUUCCUUUAGGUACAUUAAAACCUGACUCAUUUGAAAGAUAAAACAGGCCAAGCUAAGUCAGUAUAAAGUUUAAAAGAAUUUGACUUUUAAAAUAUUGAAUCAACUUCUGACCUAAACUAGAGACAUAGGUGGACCUGCUUGAGUAUCUUGGUUUAUAUAGAAAAUGGUUUUUUUACAUGCUUUUUUUUUUUUUAACUUUCACUAUUCACAGGCUAAACUAAAAGCCUUUUCCUCAAAUACCAACUUUUGGCUAUUUUUGUUAAAUUAAUAGACCUAAAAUGUAUAAUCCAGAUUAAUGGUUUACAUUUAAUAACAGAUUGAACAUGUGUUUUCUUUUGUGAUUUAAUUUUAAAAGCAGGCCUGACUGAAUAUGGGACCUGUAUAAAACAAUUAUGUGGUACUACUCACUACUAGAGGGCUUCCCUGGUGGCUCAGACAGUAAAGCGUCUGCCUGCAAUGCGGGAGACCCGUGUUCGAUUCCUGGGUCGGGAAGAUCCCCUGGAGAAGGAAAUGGCAAUCCACUCCAGUACUCUUGCCAGGAAAAUCCCAUGGAUGGAGGAGCCUGAUAGGCUACAGUCCAUGGGGUCGCAAAGAGUCGGACAUGACUGAGCGACUUCACUUUGACUCACUACCAAGUUGCUAUAUACUAUAAUAAUGAUUGAAUGUAGCUAAUAUUUAGCUUGCCUCUUAAAAUUCUCAGGUUCUAUUAGUUUUAAAAACUACUCAUAUUUUAUUAAUUAUUCAGGAAUUUUUCCCUUUUAAUUGCUUCUUCCUGUAGCACUCAUAAGGGCUGGGACAUUUAGGUUAAACUAGAACACUCUUGCCUGGAAAAUCCCAUGGACGGAGGAGCCUGGUGGGCUGCAGUCCAUGGGGCCGCUAAGAGUUGGACAUGACUGAGCAACUUCACUUUCACUUUUCACUUUCAUGCAUUGGAGAAGGAAAUGGCAACCCACUCCAGUGUUCUUGCCUGGAGAAUCCCAGGGACAGGGGAGCCUGAUGGGCGGCCGUCUAUGAGGUCGCACAGAGUCGGACACGACUGAAGUGACUUAGCAGCAGCAGCAGCAGAACAUUUUCAUGGGUUUGUGAAUACUUAUAUAAACUGGAACUGUUUUGGUUUCCCACAAUCCUCCAAAGGACUGUUUAUUUAUUAGUGAGUUGUAGUGCUCUUUUCAACAGUUGAGUUUGGUAAACAUUUGUCCAGGAGAGCCUACUUCUAAGCACUGGGGGUAAGGUAAAGAGUGAAAUAUAGUUCAUGCUCCCAAACACUUGUGGUUGGUGGUAACUUCUCGUAAGAUUGGCUUCAUUUAAGCAACACUGGGUUUGAGGGAACACCUGAAGCCUGCUGUCUUGGAAAUUUUUGAGGAAGUGUUUCUGAAAUAUUUUAAAAUACCUGAGUUAUCUCAGUCUGUUUGAAUAGAAGAAAUUGAUAUGAAAAGUCUUCUUAAAGAAUGAUUAUCUACAAACCUGUAUAAUAUGUUCUUUUUAGAAAACCUUUCAGAUAGUUUUUAUUUUAUACAUUUCUUACUUUUUAUCUGAAGUAUCUCUGGUCUUCUGGAAAAUGUCCUACAUAGUACUAGCCUUCAAAAGAUCAAAGUAAAUUUUCAUUAUAAAAUAAGUCAAUUGUCUUCCUGCUAGCCAGCAACUCUUUAUAAGUGUGUAAAGUAUGAAAAACUGCUUCUUUAUUUUUUGUUUAUACUUCAGCAAGCCUUUUGCAAACAAAUUAUAUAGUUAAGGAUGAUGCAUUUGAUAUGUAUGAAGUUAAUAUUUUCAAGUAAAAUCAAUCUCUACUACCAUCAGAUCAUAGUCAUUUAAAAAAUAUUUUAACGCAUACAUAUAUUAAAGUAUGUAUGAAAAAAUGUAUGAUGUUAAUAAAUGUAUUUAUCAAAUAGCAGUUGUGGUUUUUUUCAACCUAUAUAGGGAGUUUUGAAAAUGCAUGACUAUAAAGCACAAUUACCCAAAUACAGUGUGACAUAAUCUUUUUUAAAAAUUUAUUUUUUGGAGAGGAUAAUCUCUUUACAAUGUUGUGUUGGUUUCUGCUGUAUAUAUUAUAGUCUCUUAUUCAGUAUUACAGAUGUUGCUUUUAUACUAUAAUGUCAUGUUAUGUAUAUGAGAAUUUAAAAAUAACAAUUAUUUUUGUUUAAAAACGAGUGUUUUACUAGUCUCAGAUGCUGAGAAAUGCCAGGACAAGUUUUACAUGAUAAGACAUAGGUACAUAAUUACAGUAUUGAAUUUUCUUAAAAAAUGUUUUUCAACUUCAGUACAAAGUCAUACUGUGUAAUAAAUGCAACAGAGCAGAUUUUUAGAUUCUUAUCAAUGGCUAGAGAAUAAGUGCCUCAUAUGAAAAAAAUUACAAGUGUCCGUGUUUUUUUUGGUUUGAACUGGCUUUCAAAAUAGAGUCCAAAUCUGUUCUUUUUUUCCCAAUGAUUAAAAUGUAAAAUGAGCUUUGAUUAGUAUAAUGGCUC